rnacentral:rRNA from 1 species
UACGGAGGGUGCAAGCGUUGCUCGGAAUCACUGGGCGUAAAGCGACCGCUGGCGGCCUGACAAGUCGGAUGUGAAAGCCCUGGGCUCAACUCAGGAAUUGCAUUCGAAACUGGCAGGCUCGAGUACGGGAGAGGGGGGUGGAAUUCCAGGUGUAGCGGUGAAAUGCGUAGAGAUCUGGAGGAACACCGAUGGCGAAGGCAGCCUUCUGGGCCAACACUGACGCUCAUGCACGAAAGCGUGGGGAGCAAACAGG